UCCAAGGCUAUAGGCUUACCGUUUUUUCGGGCUGAAAGGUGAAAUAAUUGCCAGAAUAAUUCCAGGACGCUGAUCCUUUGUAAAAAUGCGCAACGAACACGACGCCGUCGAUCAAAUUGAUCUGACAUCAAAUCCCUACGAUUUGGAUUCUUGAGACCAAAAUACAUAGAAUUAACAUAGAAAUUCUCAUGGAUGAAAUUCUUAACAGAUACUCCGAACAGAUGUUUCUCGACUUGGUGCCUCAUCACGUGCAUGCCUCCAUUCUCGUGUAAUAAAUCAUACUUUUACAGGGUAUGAUGACGACAUCAGCUAGUCGCAUGCCGGGCUGAUCGUACGCAAUCAUAUGUAUUAAUUCCUACUCCUAUUAAUACAUGUACUACAAUCACCACAA